rnacentral:rRNA from 1 species
AGUCGAGCGGUAGAGAGGUGCUUGCACCUCUUGAGAGCGGCGGACGGGUGAGUAAUGCCUAGGAAUCUGCCUGGUAGUGGGGGAUAACGCUCGGAAACGGACGCUAAUACCGCAUACGUCCUACGGGAGAAAGCAGGGGACCUUCGGGCCUUGCGCUAUCAGAUGAGCCUAGGUCGGAUUAGCUAGUUGGUGGGGUAAUGGCUCACCAAGGCGACGAUCCGUAACUGGUCUGAGAGGAUGAUCAGUCACACUGGAACUGAGACACGGUCCAGACUCCUACGGGAGGCAGCAGUGGGGAAUAUUGGACAAUGGGCGAAAGCCUGAUCCAGCCAUGCCGCGUGUGUGAAGAAGGUCUUCGGAUUGUAAAGCACUUUAAGUUGGGAGGAAGGGCAUUAACCUAAUACGUUAGUGUUUUGACGUUACCGACAGAAUAAGCACCGGCUAACUCUGUGCCAGCAGCCGCGGUAAUACAGAGGGUGCAAGCGUUAAUCGGAAUUACUGGGCGUAAAGCGCGCGUAGGUGGUUCGUUAAGUUGGAUGUGAAAUCCCCGGGCUCAACCUGGGAACUGCAUUCAAAACUGUCGAGCUAGAGUAUGGUAGAGGGUGGUGGAAUUUCCUGUGUAGCGGUGAAAUGCGUAGAUAUAG